rnacentral:rRNA from 1 species
GAUGAACGCUGGCGGCGUGCCUAAUACAUGCAAGUCGAGCGAACAGACGAGGAGCUUGCUCCUCUGACGUUAGCGGCGGACGGGUGAGUAACACGUGGAUAACCUACCUAUAAGACUGGGAUAACUUCGGGAAACCGGAGCUAAUACCGGAUAAUAUAUUGAACCGCAUGGUUCUAUAGUGAAAGACGGUUUUGCUGUCACUUAUAGAUGGAUCCGCGCCGCAUUAGCUAGUUGGUAAGGUAACGGCUUACCAAGGCAACGAUGCGUAGCCGACCGGAGAGGGUGAUCGGCCACACGGGAACUGAGACACGGUCCAGACUCCUACGGGAGGCAGCAGUAGGGAAUCUUCCGCAAUGGGCGAAAGCCUGACGGAGCAACGCCGCGUGAGUGAUGAAGGUCUUCGGAUCGUAAAGCUCUGUUAUUAGGGAAGAACAAAUGUGUAAGUAACUAUGCACGUCUUGACGGUACCUAAUCAGAAAGCCACGGCUAACUACGUG